rnacentral:rRNA from 1 species
AGCAGCCGCGGUAAUUCCAGCUCCAAUAGCGUAUAUUAAAGUUGUUGCAGUUAAAAAGCUCGUAGUUGAAUUUCGGGGUCAGUAGAUUGGUCAUGCCACUGGUAUGUACUGGUCUCACUGAUUCCUCCUUCCUGAUGAGCCGUAAUGCCAUUAAUUUGGUGUUGCGAGGAAUCUGGACUGUUACUUUGAAAAAAUUAGAGUGUUUAAAGCAGGCUAACGCUUGAAUACAUUAGCAUGGAAUAAUGAAAUAGGACGUUCGAUCUUAUUUUGUUGGUUUCUAAGAUUGACGUAAUGAUUAAUAGGGAUAGUUGGGGGCAUUAGUAUUCAAUUGUCAGAGGUGAAAUUCUUGGAUUUAUUGAAGACUAGCUACUGCGAAAGCAUUUGCCAAGGANGUUUUCAUUAAUCAAGAACGAAAGUUAGGGGAUCGAAGACGAUCAGAUACCGUCGUAGUCUUAACCAUAAACUAUGCCGACUAGGGAUCGGAUGAUGUAAUUUUUAAUGACU